CUUAUCUGGAAGAAGCUUUUCCUCGCAUGGACGCCGGGCUUCUGUGAUUUAUCUGGGCUCCAAAUGGCAAGCGUGAUGCAGAUGCCUCUCCUCCUCAUCCUCUUCUUCCUCCGUCACUCUACCAGAUGCCCCGAGGUUGAGGACUCCAAAAAUAAACGGUGGCUUCCCCAGAGACCGGUCAAGGCCGGGCGAGUUGGCACGAGCUGGGCAUCAUGGGCUGAGGGAUGAGCAGAUACUGAGUUCCAGGUAUGUCCCACCAGGAGGAGGUCCCAGAGAAGAUCCAGGACACACUGGAAGAAGUAUGACCUGAGAACGCCUUGGGGUCCCACCAGAGGAGCUGGAGGAAGUGUCUGGAGUGAGGGAAGUCUGGGAGUCCCUGCUUAGACUGCUGC